rnacentral:rRNA from 1 species
UACGGAGGAUCCAAGCGUUAUCCGGAAUUACUGGGCGUAAAGAGUUGCGUAGGUGGCAUAGUAAGCAAAUAGUGAAAUCGUGCGGCUCAACCGCAUACCCAUUAUUUGAACUGCUAAGCUUGAGUAUGAGAGAGGUAGAUGGAAUUUCUAGUGUAGGAGUGAAAUCCGUAGAUAUUAGAAGGAACACCGAUGGCGUAGGCAGUCUACUGGCUCAUUACUGACACUAAGGCACGAAAGCGUGGGGAGCGAACGGG